rfam:Nicotiana sylvestris Nsyl_contig261945, whole genome shotgun sequence.
AUUCGGUUAUAAGAGAAGAAUCUAAAAUUGGAAUGAUACCAAGAAGAUUGGCAUGGCCCCUCGCAAGGAUGACAUCCAAAAAUCAAGAAAUGGUUCAAAAAAGU